rnacentral:snoRNA from 1 species
AAGCUAAUGAUGACAAAAUUGAUUUGGAAUUACCGUCUGAAUAUCUUUGAUGUAAAUUUCUUGGCUGUGGUACUGAGGCUUCAA